CACGUAGGGUGCGAGCGUUGUCCGGAAUUAUUGGGCGUAAAGAGCUCGUAGGCGGUGUGUCGCGUCGGCCGUGAAAACCUGCAGCUUAACUGUGGGCUUGCGGUCGAUACGGGCAUCACUGGAGUUCGGCAGGGGAGACUGGAAUUCCUGGUGUAGCGGUGAAAUGCGCAGAUAUCAGGAGGAACACCGGUGGCGAAGGCGGUUCUCUGGGCAACAACUGACGCUGAGGAGCGAAAGCGUGGGGAGCGAACAGG
rnacentral:rRNA from 1 species